GCACUGUUGACGAGUCCCAAAACAGAACGAAACGGCCGUCCAGUGC
rfam:Schistosoma curassoni strain Dakar, Senegal genome assembly, scaffold: SCTD_contig0004243